rnacentral:lncRNA from 1 species
UUGCCUUUGCACAUCAAGCAGUAUGCCAAGAACAAUCAUUACUUCAUGAUUAGGAGUCUCAUUUGGUUUUGGAAAUGCCUCCCUGCACCUGCAAAAUUUUUGGAGUAAGAACAAGCUGGAACUGGGAUAUCACCUCAAGAUGCAAAAGAGAGAAUGCAACCAGUUUACAGACUCCAGUCCUGUUUUAGUUCCUUCUCCAGACUAAUCAGGAGAAGCUCCACAGAAGCUAAGUGAGCAGUCAAAUAUCCUCAAUUUUCUGAUUUAUAUAUUACAUAGCCUAUCUUUUUGAAAGCAAUUUUGUGUAAAUGUAAUUGGUUUAUUUCUACUGUGACAGCCAUGUAAACCACAGAAAGGAGGCAUGUGACAAAUGAAGCCAUCAGCUGUGCCGUGUAGGAACUAAA